AUGGCUUGCACACAGAUGAACUGCUCCAAGAACGGGACAACCUCCGCUGCUGACCUGACAGAUGACCUUAUCAUCGAGAUUCUGUCCCUGCUGCCCGUCAAGUCAGUGUGCCGAUUCAAGUGUGUCUCCCGGCUCUGGUACCUCCUCAUCUCCCAACACCGCAAAAAGCUGCCCCAGACCAUCUCCGGCUUCUUCUACCCCAAGCACAGACUCAACUAUGAGGAUGGUUUGAUAGCAUUUCCCACUUUUGAUGGUAUAUCAAGGGACCAAGAGCAGCUAUUCCCUGAUUCCUCGUUGUCCUUCUUGACGGGAUACAGGCAGAUUUUGCCAAAGGACUGCUGCAAUGGCCUUAUUUUCUGCCUCUGCUGGAAGGACUCCCCAAUAGACGAAGCUGAUUAUGUGGUAUGUAAUCCUGCCACUGAGGAAUGGGUAAUCCUGCCUGAUGCUGGCCAUAAAAGCGAUGCAUUGGCGUACCGUUUGGGUUUCGAUGGAGCCAUGUCACCCCACUUCCAUGUGUUCCAGAUCCUAGAGGGUGAUGAGGACUAUGGAUAUAUCUCAGGUGUUAAUAUCUACUCAUCAGAGACAGGAGCCUGGAGUUACAAGGAAAAUGGUUGGGGCGACAAUGAGAUUCAGAUAGUUGACAUGAGAGGUGUCUUUUUCAAUGGAAUGAUGCACUUGCUCACAUGUCCUCUGGCUUUUAUUGGUCAAUCUCAAGGGCGAUUGUAUUUUAUAAAUAUGAGAGACAACGAUAGCUCCAAAUUAUCAGUCUGGAUUCUUGAGGACUAUAAUGGUAAUGAAUGGAUCUUUAAGUACAACAUCAGCACUUCACAACUUUUUGGGGAGCUUUUUGGGGAGAAAAAUCACAUGUUACAACGGGACUAUGCUGAUCUCUUGUUCCAGAGGGACUAUGCUUUGAUCGCAAUCCAUCCUGAAUGCAAUUUGAUAUUCUUUGUUUGGAGGUGCAAGGAUGUGCUACUGUCAUAUGACAUGGACCGUGUUUUUGCUUUUGCUUUGAUUUAG
rnacentral:rRNA from 1 species